CAAUAGCGUAUAUUAAAGUUGUUGCAGUUAAAAAGCUCGUAGUUGGAUUUCUGGUUGAAGCGACCGGUCGGGCGUUGAUUCGUCUGCACUGGAGUCGGUUUUGGCCAUCCUCUAGGAAAGUGCGUCUGGUAUUAAGUUAUCGGGCGUAUGAUCCUGGUCUUUUACUGUGAAAAAAUUAGAGUGUUUAAAGCAGGCCUUCGCCUUGAAUGCAUUAGCAUGGAAUAAUAAGAUAGGACUUUGGUCUAUUUUGUUGGUUUGCAGACCGAAGUAAUGAUUAAUAGGGAUAGUUGGGGGUAUUUAUAUUCCGAUGUCAGAGGUGAAAUUCUUAGAUUUUCGGAAGAUAAACUUAUGCGAAAGCAUUUACCAAGGAUGUUUUCAUUAA
rnacentral:rRNA from 1 species